GAUGAACGCUGGCGGCGUGCCUAAUACAUGCAAGUCGAGCGAAUGGAUUAAGAGCUUGCUCUUAUGAAGUUAGCGGCGGACGGGUGAGUAACACGUGGGUAACCUGCCCAUAAGACUGGGAUAACUCCGGGAAACCGGGGCUAAUACCGGAUAACAUUUUGAACCGCAUGGUUCGAAAUUGAAAGGCGGCUUCGGCUGUCACUUAUGAAUGGACCCGCGUCGCAUUAGCUAGUUGGUGAGGUAACGGCUCACCAAGGCAACGAUGCGUAGCCGACCUGAGGGGGUGAUCGGCCACACGGGGACUGAGACACGGCCCAGACUCCUACGGGAGGCAGCAGUAGGGAAUCUUCCGCAAUGGACGAAAGUCUGACGGAGCAACGCCGCGUGAGUGAUGAAGGCUUUCGGGUCGUAAAACUCUGUUGUUAGGGAAGAACAAGUGCUAGUUGAAUAAGCUGGCACCUUGACGGUACCUAACCAGAAAGCCACGGCUAACUACGUGCCAGCAGCCGCCGUAA
rnacentral:rRNA from 1 species